rnacentral:tRNA from 1 species
UAGAUUUUAGUUUAAAGGGAAAAUUUUUUUUUUACAAAAAAGAGAUAAAAUAUUAUUUUAAAUUUAAAUUUUAAUAAAUUAA